UUCUCUGACCUUGGCUGUCCUGCACAGUGUCACAGGCUGUCUGAGGACCUGCAGAAGUUUUAAGAGGAAGAACUUGGAGUAGAGUUAAAUACAAGUAAAGGGAACUGCAGGGAGUAAGUGGGCUUCAAAUGACCUGAUGAUCUUGCUACUUCAGUCAGUAUUUAUCUUGAAGAGCAUGCAAGCUAGACAAUUAAUCCAUCAGCAAAAAAAGAAAGGUGUGUUCUUCUUUUUUUUAUCUGUGGGAAGAAGGUCUCCAAGAACCUAGCAUAUUUCACCAAUAAAUCUUCAUUUUAUUAA